rnacentral:rRNA from 1 species
UACGUAGGCAGCAAGCGUUGUUCGGAGUUACUGGGCGUAAAGGGUGUGUAGGCGGUUGUUUAAGUUUGGUGUGAAAUCUCCCGGCUCAACUGGGAGGGUGCGCCGAAUACUGAAUGACUAGAGUGCGGGAGAGGAAAGUGGAAUUCCUGGUGUAGCGGUGAAAUGCGUAGAUAUCAGGAGGAACACCGGUGGUGUAGACGGCUUUCUGGACCGUAACUGACGCUGAGGCACGAAGGCCAGGGGAGCAAACGGG